AGCGGCCGGAUUCGCCCUUUUCCGGUUGAUCCUGCCAGAGGCUAUUGCUAUCAGGGUUUGACUAAGCCAUGCGAGUCGAGAGGUGUUAAGACCUCGGCGUACUGCUCAGUAACACGUGGAUAAUCUGCCCUCAGGAGAGGAAUAAUCCCGGGAAACUGGGGCUAAUGCCUCAUAGGAGACGGGUGCUGGAAUGCUCUGUCUCCCAAAGGUCCGCCGCUGAGGAUGAGUCUGCGGCCGAUUAGGUUGUUGUUGGGGUAACGGCCCAACAAGCCCGUGAUCGGUACGGGUUGUGGGAGCAAGAGCCCGGAGAUGGAUUCUGAGACAUGAAUCCAGGCCCUACGGGGCGCAGCAGGCGCGAAAACUUUACAAUGCGAGCAAUCGUGAUAAGGAAACCCUGAGUGCCUGUCAAUGCAGGCUGUUCUGGUGUUUAGCACGCACCAGGAGAAAGGGCGGGGCAAGACCGGUGCCAGCCGCCGCGGUAAUACCGGCUGCUCGAGUGAUAGCCGCUUUUACUGGGCUUAAAGCGUUCGUAGCUUGGUCGUUAAGUCUCUGGGGAAAUCUUCUGGCUUAACCAGAAGGCGUCUCAGUGAAACUAGCGACCUAGGAACCGGGAGAGGUGAGACGUACUUCGGGGGUAGGAGUGAAAUCUUGUAAUCCUCGAGGGACGACCGAUGGCGAAGGCAUCUCACCAGAACGGCUUCGACAGUGAGGGACGAAAGCUGGGGGAGCAAACCGGAUUAGAUACCCGGUAGUCCCAGCCGUAAACGAUGUGCGUUAGGUGUGUCGGUGACCACGAGUCGCCGAGGUGCCGAAGGGAAACCGUGAAACGCACCGCCUGGGAAGUACGGUCGCAAGGCUGAAACUUAAAGGAAUUGGCGGGGGAGCAC
rnacentral:rRNA from 1 species